rnacentral:rRNA from 1 species
CCAAGCUAUGGUGGAGACGCGGCAUACGGCUCAGUAACACGUGGCUAACCCACCCUUGAGACGGAGAAAACCCCGGGAAACUGGGGCUAAUCUCUGAUAAGAGAAGACACUUGGAACGGGUCUCCUCUCAAAAGACACCUAAACCAUGCUUUUAGGCGUUGCUCAAGGACGGGGCCGCGGCCGAUCAGGUUGUUGGUGAGGCAACGGCUCACCAAGCCUAUAACCGGUACGGGCCGUGAGAGCGGGAGCCCGGAGAUGGGCACUGAGACAAGGGCCCAGGCCCUACGGGGCGCAGCAGUUGCGAAAACUCUGCAAUGCACGAAAGUGUGACAGGGUUACCCCGAGUGUCGUCCGCUGAGGGCGGCUUUUCCCUGGUGUAAGGAGCCGGGGGAAUAAGGAGAGGGCAAGUCUGGUGUCAGCCGCCGCGGUAAUACCAGCUCUCCGAGUGGUAGGGAUAAUUAUUGGGCUUAAAGCGUCCGUAGCCGGCCCGGCAAGUCUUCCGUUAAAUCCAACGAUUCAAUCGUUGGACUGCGGGAGAUACUGUUGGGCUAGGAGGCGGGAGAGGCCGACGGUAUUCUCGGGGUAGGGGUAAAAUCCUAUAAUCCUGGGAAGACCACCAGUGGCGAAGGCGAUCGGCUAGAACGCGCUCGACGGUGAGGGACGAAAGCUGGGGGGAGCGAACCGGAUUAGAUACCCGGGUAGUC